GCGAGGGUGGCGGAAUUGGUAGACGCGCUAGAUUAAGGAUCUAGUGGCCAUAGGCUGUAGGGGUUCGAUUCCCCUCCUUCGCACCA
rnacentral:tRNA from 1 species